rnacentral:rRNA from 1 species
UACGUAGGGGGCAAGCGUUGUCCGGAUUUAUUGGGCGUAAAGCGCGUGUAGGCGGCCAUACAGGUCCGUUGUGAAAACUCGAGGCUUAACCUCGAGACGUCGAUGGAAACCGUAUGGCUAGAGUCCGGAAGAGGAGAGUGGAAUUCCUGGUGUAGCGGUGAAAUGCGCAGAUAUCAGGAGGAACACCGAAGGCGAAGGCAGUGUCCUGGCGCGUAACUGACGCUGAGGUGCGAAAGCCAGGGGAGCGAACGGG